rnacentral:rRNA from 1 species
GACGAACGCUGGCGGCGUGCCUAAUACAUGCAAGUAGAACGCACAGUUUAUACCGUAGCUUGCUACACCAUAAACUGUGAGUUGCGAACGGGUGAGUAACGCGUAGGUAACCUGCCUGGUAGCGGGGGAUAACUAUUGGAAACGAUAGCUAAUACCGCAUAAUAUUGAUUAUUGCAUGAUAAUUGAUUGAAAGAUGCUAUUGCAUCACUACCAGAUGGACCUGCGUUGUAUUAGCUAGUAGGUGAGGUAACGGCUCACCUAGGCGACGAUACAUAGCCGACCUGAUAGGGUGAGCGGCCACACUGGGACUGAGACACGGCCCAGACUCCUACGGGAGGCAGCAGUAGGGAAUCGUCGGCAAUGGACGAAAGUCUGACCGAGCAACGCCGCGUGAGUGAAGAAGGUUUUCGGAUCGUAAAGCUCUGUUGUAAGAGAAGAACGGGUGUGAGAGUGGAAAGUUCACACUGUGACGGUAUCUUACCAGAAAGGGACGGCUAACUACGUG